GACGUAGGGCGCGAGCGUUUGUCCGGAUUUAUUGGGCGUAAAGAGCUCGUAGGCGGCUUGUCGCGUCGUCCGUGAAAACCCACAGCUCAACUGUGGGCUUGCGGUCGAUACGGGCAGGCUAGAGUUCGGUAGGGGAGACUGGAAUUCCUGGUGUAGCGGUGAAAUGCGCAGAUAUCAGGAGGAACACCGGUGGCGAAGGCGGAUCUCUGGGCCAUUACUGACGCUGAUCCGCGAAAGCUAGGGGAGCAAACGGG
rnacentral:rRNA from 1 species